UGGGGAAUAUUACACAAUGGAGGAAACUCUGAUGUAGCAACGCCGCGUGGAGGAUGACACAUUUCGGUGCGUAAACUCCUUUUAUAUGGGAAGAUAAUGACGGUACCAUAUGAAUAAGCACCGGCUAACUCCGUGCCAGCAGCCGCGGUAAUACGGAGGGUGCAAGCGUUACUCGGAAUCACUGGGCGUAAAGCGCGCGCAGGCGGUCUUUUAAGUUGGAUGUGAAAUCCUAUGGCUCAACCAUAGAACUGCAUCCAAAACUGAAAGACUAGAGUCUGGGAGGGGAAGAUGGAAUUAGUGGUGUAGGGGUAAAAUCCGUAGAGAUCACUAGGAAUACCAAAAGCGAAGGCGAUCUUCUGGAACAGUACUGACGCUGAGGCGCGAAAGCGUGGGGAGCAAACAGG
rnacentral:rRNA from 1 species